UACGAAGGGUGCAAGCGUUACUCGGAAUUACUGGGCGUAAAGCGUGCGUAGGUGGUGAGUUAAGUCUGAUGUGAAAUCCCCGGGCUCAACCUGGGAAUGGCAUUGGAUACUGGCUCGCUAGAGUGCGGUAGAGGGUGGUGGAAUUCCCGGUGUAGCAGUGAAAUGCGUAGAGAUCGGGAGGAACAUCUGUGGCGAAGGCGGCCACCUGGACCAACACUGACACUGAGAGACGAAAGCUAGGGGAGCAAAUGGG
rnacentral:rRNA from 1 species